GUGGGAUGAGACAUGAAAGCCCUGUGAACAUCCUGUUCCCUGACAACCCUUCAGAGCUGGUUUCAGUGCCACUGCUGAAGCCUCUGGGAAACGUUGAUUACACUCACGGUGACGGUGGCAAUUUCUUGAAUUCCUUCUACAUUGACUGCCUGCGUUAUUCAGUGAAGCAGACAUGGCCUAUUCCCUACAUUUGCCCCUUGAAAAUGUUCAAUUUUAAUUUAAAAGAUUAAUACAGCCAGGAUAUUCUUUCAACAGGCAAAUAAAAACCGCAGUUUAAACUCUAAGUUUCAAUCAGAAACUAACAGCUCUUGGAUUUCCCAGGGCUCACACUCCUCUGAAACAACUCACGAAGAGCCUGAGGAAGCAGUUCUCACUGGAAAAUGCAAGAAAGUAUGUUCCGGUGAAGACCCUCAGCUCUGUUCAUUUUCAUGAUGCAAAUGCCCACAAAGGUGGUUUUGACCUGACUGACCCUGUGCAAGGAGGCACAGUCUCCUCACCAGCAUAAGCACGUGGCAUCAGAUGCGGAGACAGUUUUGGACGUGGAUGGAUGUUUACACACUGAGACUCCUUCAGUGUCCCUUCAAGAAAAUGUGGACACAAUGUCUCUGAAGCCUGUUAGUGACCAUAGAAUUAAUUUCACUAAUACCUUUCGGUCACCGACUCCUGAAAAGAGAACACGUGAAUAUCAU
rnacentral:lncRNA from 1 species